rnacentral:rRNA from 1 species
AUUGAACGCUGGCGGCAGGCCUAACACAUGCAAGUCGAGCGGAGCGGCGGUGGGGUGAGUAAUGCCUAGGACUCUGCCUGGUAGCGGGGGAUAACGUCCGGAAACGGGCGCUAAUACCGCAUCCUAUCAGAUGAGCCUAGGGCGGAUUAGAUAGUUGGUGGGGGAAAGGCCUACCAAGGCGACGAGCCGUAACUGGUCUGAGAGGAUGAUCAGGCACACUGGAAGUGAGACACGGUCCAGACUCCUACGGGAGGCAGCAGUGGGGAAGAUUGGACAAUGGGCGAAAGCCUGAUCCAGCCAUGCCGCGUGUGUGAAGAAGGUCUUCGGAUUGUAAAGCACUUUAAGUUGGGAGGCGUUACCAACAGAAUAAGCACCGGCUAACUCCGUGCCAGCAGCCGCGGUAAUUC